CCGCCGGCUCCCCAGCGAGUCUGAGGUGCAGGGGGAGCCCCUGGGCCGUGGUGGCUGGUGUCAGCGGGCACAGCUCAGAAGGCCCUCCUUUCCCUUUUAUGGGUGCCUCGUGUGAAUGUGAGAAGAGGAUCAUAUAUUUGAAAAAGUAAAUCCUGAGAUGGAAAAGCUGGGAUAUGAGUGCAAGUGCCUUGGAGGAGGGAAAAUUGAUCAUAAUAGCAAAGACAAGAAAAUUAGGGUAUUUGGUCUCUCUACAGGCUAUGGAAAAGCAGAUCAUUCGGUGACUGUAGAGAUACUGAAAAAAGUGUAUACAGAUUAUGAAAUUACAUGGUCAGAUGACAAGAAAUAAAUCAGCUACUUAUUAACACAACAGGCAGUUCAAAACUGGUAACUGAGUUGUACUUUGUUAAAUUGAAUGUGUCUUCUAUAUAUAUUACCAUAAA